rnacentral:lncRNA from 1 species
UGGCUGCAACAGAGUGGAAGUUUCUUCCUUUGAUUUAACAAGAAUCUUAGCAGAAGAAUGAGUAGAGAAAUUCUUUUAAAAAGUUGGAGUAGGAAGGAAAGAUAGGGUUAUAUUGUAUUGUAUGGUUGCUUGCUUGCUUUCUCUUAGAAAUAAAAAGAAGUUUGUUACUUUUUCCUGUGUAUUCAUUCAUUUUCCAUUGAACCAGAUGCUGCUGAAAAAUGUGUGAUGAACAAAUACAGAAGUCUGGAUGGGUCGGGUCGGUUCGGUUCGGUAUUUCCAGCAAGGCAAUUAAAACUGAGAAAA